GCCAGUGUAGUGUAGUGGUUUGAGUGCUGGACUGUGACUCUUGAGAUCAGAGUUUGAAUCUCUGCUCAGACA